UACGGGGGGGGCAAGCGUUGUUCGGAAUUACUGGGCGUAAAGGGCGCGUAGGCGGUGCUCUAAGUCGGAUGUGAAAACUCUGGGCUCAACCCAGAGCCUGCAUCCGAAACUGGAGUGCUAGAGUUCUGGAGGGGGUAGCGGAAUUCCUGGUGUAGCGGUGAAAUGCGUAGAUAUCCGGAGGAACACCGAAGGCGAAGGCAGUCUCCUGGCAAGUUACUGACGCUCAGGUGCGAAAGCUAGGGGAGCGAACAGG
rnacentral:rRNA from 1 species